UUCAGUCGAUGUAAUGCCAGCUGCAUUAGUUGUUUUGAUGGGUAACAAAUAUCAAGCUUGCGGCGGAUUGCCUGCAGCAGCUCCUGUGUGAGAAAGCUUACUCAAUUGGUCCAUGAAUCCGAAAUCUUUGACCUUGUUCUGAAUUCAACAACCGUGGUUUAUGACCAGACUCAUCUAAGGAAAAAUGCAAUCAAACAAACUAAUCACUACACCAUGUGAUUUUUCAAAGGACAUUUAUAAAGAUCACUAAUUUAAAUGUACACCUAGUUGUAAAGUAAAGGACUAUAAAAAAUGUGUUGACUUA